UGGGGAAUAUUGGACAAUGGGCGCAAGCCUGAUCCAGCCAUGCCGCGUGAGUGAUGAAGGCCCUAGGGUUGUAAAGCUCUUUCACCGGUGAAGAUAAUGACGGUAACCGGAGAAGAAGCCCCGGCUAACUUCGUGCCAGCAGCCGCGGUAAUACGAAGGGGGCUAGCGUUGUUCGGAUUUACUGGGCGUAAAGCGCACGUAGGCGGACUAUUAAGUCAGGGGUGAAAUCCCGGGGCUCAACCCCGGAACUGCCUUUGAUACUGGUAGUCUUGAGUUCGAGAGAGGUGAGUGGAAUUCCGAGUGUAGAGGUGAAAUUCGUAGAUAUUCGGAGGAAAACCAGUGGCGAAGGCGGCUCACUGGCUCGAUACUGACGCUGGGGUGCGAAAGCGUGGGGAGCAAACAGG
rnacentral:rRNA from 1 species